GCGAGUGAAGAGGAAAGAGCUCAAAGUUGGAACCUGUUUGGCUUAGCUAAACCGGAUUGUAAACUGUAGAAGUGUUUUCCUGACACGCCUGGUAAAAAAGUCCUUUGGAACAGGGCAUCAUAGAGGGUGAGAAUCCCGUCUUUGGCCAGAGCUGUUGUCUUUUGUGAUACAUUUUCAAAGAGUCAGGUUGUUUGGGAAUGCAGCCUAAAUUGGGUGGUAAAUCUCACCUAAAGCUAAAUAUUUGCGAGAGACCGAUAGCGAACAAGUACCGUGAGGGAAAGAUGAAAAGAACUUUGAAAAGAGAGUUAAACAGUAUGUGAAAUUGUUAAAAGGGAACCGUUUGGAGCCAGACUGGCUUGACUGUAAUCAAUCUAGGCUUCGGCCUGGAUGCACUUGCGGUCUAUGCCUGCCAACGACAGUUUUAUUUGGGGGAAAAAAUUAUUGGGAAUGUGGCCUUUCGAGGUGUUAUAGCCCUUUAAAAAAUACCCUGGAUUGGACUGAGGAACGCAGUGAAUGCCUUUAGGCAAGAUUGCUGGGUGCUUUCGCUAAUAAAUGCUAGAAUUUCUGCUUCGGGUGGUGCUAGUGUUUAAAGGUGGAACUCGCUUAGUAUA
rnacentral:rRNA from 1 species